rnacentral:rRNA from 1 species
UACGAAGGAUCCAAGCGUUAUCCGGAUUUAUUGGGUUUAAAGGGUGCGUAGGCGGGCUAUUAAGUCAGUGGUGAAAGCCCCAAGCUUAAACUUGGGAAUUGCCAUUGAUACUGAUGGUCUUGAGUACACUUGAAGUGGGCGGAAUGUGUCAUGUAGCGGUGAAAUGCUUAGAUAUGACACAGAACACCGAUUGCGAAAGGCAGCUCACUAAAGUUGUAACUGAC